UUGCAAUGGGGACAAGUCUCUGUAAAUUUCUUGGCUUCCAGGUAUCUCAUUAAACUACAGAGUAAGACGAUCUGUCUUUCUCUACUCACAACUCCAGGCACCGAUUGCUUCAUCUUCUCUUUGUUCUGGCCCAUACUUAAGCAUCCAGAAGGCACAGAACCACGAACUUUCUUGAACUUUCACUUGGGCCAGCUUUUCCUUUAUUGGUACUUUGAGAUGACAUCCCUGAUAUUCAUCUCCAUCCUGUGAACUCCUCAGCUUCCUGGUUAGAGCACGUCACCCUAUUCUGCUGCCAUAGACAUGUACCUAAGAACCAGAGUGAAGGUCCGCCAGCUUUAAGUACCUGUUGUGGACAUAAGCAUAUGAGAGGCCCUCUGAAUGGGCUUUUAAUGACCGGCUGAAUAAAGUGGCUACCUACUCAGGCAAUGCAUGCAUUUUAUAGCACACAGUUUCAAAGCUUCUGGUUUUGAAGGCCAGCUGAGGGGUGCCUUUGUAUGUGUUCUUCACAAACCCAGUACAGCAAUAAAGCAUGCUUUUGG